UGGCAGCUGGAUCCAGCCAGGCGGUGUAUCGCCAAACCCAGCCAAUCAAUCUACCCACCGGG
rnacentral:ncRNA from 1 species